rnacentral:lncRNA from 1 species
AAGAUCUGUUUUCUUCCCAUCUAGCUCCUGUGACCUGCCCCUCCCCCCAGAUUACACUUCUUCAGUUGUAGCUGGAGGCUAAGCCCUAGGGAGUUCUGGAGCAGGACCUUCCUGUGACAUCAGCUGAGCACCCUUUGCACCCUGGACUGGUGUUCAUAGUCCACUACCUGGCUCUCUGGGUGUGGUCUGUCAGCUGCCCAGGCUGAAGCAAAAUCAUGAGUGUUCCUGGAAUCAGGCUGGGGUCAGGCCACCUGGCUGGUGACUGCAGGCUUCUUUCCCCUGCAGCCUAAUCCUCUUCCAAAACUUGUCUCCUGCAGUUCUGGUGGAACCUUGCCCUGCCGUGCUCCCCAGCCACUAGAACAGGGUCUCUUCAUGCACUCUGCCAACCGACAGGGCUAGAAGCUGCCCAUCUUUGAUAAGCCUCAGAUUACCCAUCCUCCUCCAGAAGCAAGAGCGGGAGCAAAUGUGUGUGUGUGGGUCCCACUGGGUGAGUAGAGGGCAUUCUAAUCCUGCUUCCUUUCCACUCUUCCAGGAAGAUUUGGAGGGCUCCUGCUCCUUUCCUCUCCCCAUGGGGCCUAAGGCUCCCCUCACCUGCCCAGUGGAGGGCUCAGGGGUACUGCUCCCCACUGUCAGUGAGUAUUAGGUGUGGAGGCAAGUGCCCUGUAAUUCUGCAGCUCAUCUCCUCUGCCGUGGCCUGAUUCUAUGGGUCGGACCUCUACCUGCUUCCUCCCACAGGGCUGGAAGCCCAGACAUGGUCUACCCCACUUCCCUUGCCAGAUCCUCUGGCCUCUCUUCCCAGCCCAGGACCUGAAUUGCCUAGAUCGCAGCUCCCAGAAGGAGAGAGCUGCAGAGACGUCAGAUGGAGGCCAUAGAGUGAGAUGCUGAAUGUAAGAGGAGAACUUGGUAGCUGACACAAAGCUCCAUCCAGGAUCCAGUCCCUUCUCCACAAGAUUCAGCAUCAGUCAGCAGUGAUCCCAUGACCACUGGGAACCAAACGCUGUCCUAGGCCUUCCUUGUGCUCCCUCUCCAUCUCCAGCCAAAGUGGGUCGAGCUGAGGGACAGGGAGGUGAUCUGGAAAGAGCAAGUGCAACUCUCUGCUCUGCCGUGUAUCAGCUGUCUGUUUAAUCACAUCCUCAGAACCUCAACUUCUUCACCUAUAAAAUGUAAAUAAAUAGAACAGACCUUGAGAGACCCAAGUGAAGCUUCAAGGAGAGAGGGCAGCGCAUCUACAAAAUCAGCCCAGGGCCUGCCCGCUGAGCACUUCCUGUCGGCUUGCUUCUCUUCCACUUUCUCUGAGCCUCAUUCCUCUGGGACCCCAUGACCCCUGUCGUGGCUCUGCCCUCAAAAACCCCUCUCAUCUCUCGGGGAAUCAGAGUGGAGUCAGAAGAAAGAGGCUUAAUUGAGAAGGUUUUUCUGGUUUCUCAAAAGACCACGAUUCUGGGGAAGAGAG